AGUGAAAAAUGAUUUCACCUGGAGUGAAGGCUUUGGAAAAAGCACAAGCUAUAUUCGCCUUGGGGAGGACAGAGCAAGGAGGUCCCUGGGAACAGACCUGGGAUCCCAUGCCAAGGUCUGGUGGUUUGUUUGGGGUGGACUGAGGUGGUGUGCCCUUGGUUCUUUUACCAGUGCCUGCGAUGAAGAACAGUUCCAGAUGUCCUGGUCAUCCACUGCGGCGGGAACGACCUUGGGCGGAUGAAGAGUGUCUAUCUUGUUGCAGAGAUGAAGGAGGAACUGUGUGAUCUUCACCAGCGCUACCCACAGAUGACUGAAAUCACCCAGCGACGUCGAUGGGGAUCCACAAAGUCAAAAAAGGUCCCGGAAAUGGGUGAACAGAGUGAGGGCUAAUUUUGUCUUAGGAGUAAAGGGGGGACAUAGUGUUUGACAAGUCUUGGUUGUUUCUAAAAGAUGAUAUUCGUUUGUCCCCUUUGGGAAAUUACAUAUUUUUAUGUAAUCUAGCUGAAUGCCAGAAAGCCUUAAUCCGGUAAGGGUGAUGCUGGAUUAAUCUUUCAGGCUGAAAGUUUUGGCUGAAACAGUUCAGGCUUUUAAACUCUCUGUGGUGUGAUGUGCCUUAUUCAUAGUAUUAUUUAACUAUAGCUAGUAUUAUUUAGCCAUAACACUGUUCAACAUUGUCACUGUUCUUCCUUAGCUUAUCCUUUUUUGCCCCUCUACCCCCAUGUCCCCUUGUAUUUAUUUAUUUUUGGGCCCACCCAAAUCAUUCCAUCACUGGGAUCUCCUCCUUUUUUCUUCCCAUGGCAAAUGUAGCAUGGGAUUUUGGGGUUAUUUUUGAACACAUGCAACACAUUUACAACAACAGGCACUUACCUAUACUGCUGACAAGCUAAAAUUUUUACAUUUUUAUAUAAUAAUAAGAAUAUAAGAAUAUAUCAGAAUUUCUAUCAUUGUUUUUUGAGCAAUAAAUUAUUUUACAACACA